GUAGUUUGAUCGUGGCUCAGAUUGAACGCUGGCGGCAUGCCUUACACAUGCAAGUCGAACGGCAGCAUGAUCUAGCUUGCUAGAUUGAUGGCGAGUGGCGAACGGGUGAGUAAUACAUCGGAACGUGCCCUGUAGUGGGGAUAACUAGUCGAAAGAUUAGCUAAUACCGCAUACGACCUGAGGGUGAAAGUGGGGGACCGCAAGGCCUCAUGCUAUAGGAGCGGCCGAUGUCUGAUUAGCUAGUUGGUGGGUAAAGGCCCACCAAAGCGACGAGUCAGUAGCUGGU
rnacentral:rRNA from 1 species